rnacentral:rRNA from 1 species
UACAGAGGGGGCAAGCGUUGUUCGGAAUUACUGGGCGUAAAGGGCGCGUAGGCGGCCUUCUAAGUCGAACGUGAAAUCCCCGGGCUCAACCCGGGAACUGCGUCCGAUACUGGAAGGCUUGAAUCCGGGAGAGGGAUGCGGAAUUCCAGGUGUAGCGGUGAAAUGCGUAGAUAUCAGGAGGAACACCGGUGGCGAAGGCGGCUAUCUGGACAGAGUCUGACGCUGAGGCGCGAAAGCUAGGGGAGCAAACAGG